GCCCGAAACUUUCCGAGUUGCUCAAUAGGCUUGUCUCCGGUGGGGUCCUUGAAAAACAAUUCAUCAUGCCAUUGGGGGCACCCUGGUUAGCUCUAUAGAAAUGCAAUGUAGGUUGCAUAUCUCCUCUGGGAAUGAAGAUCAUUCCA
ensembl:ncRNA R12H7.7 ncRNA